UAUCUAUGUCAAUAUGGGAUCAAAAGGUUGUUAGGAAUAAAGAAACAUAUUUCUCUACUGUAGUCGAUUGAAAGGAAGAGAGCAAGUAUGGAAAUUUUUGAAAAAAGGCUUUUGUAUCCGCACCUUUUUUACCAAAGGAAGAAAGAUAUUCCACAAACAGAUGGGGGAUUUGCUGGGAUGGGAACAAUUAUGCAAGGGUGACUUUUUCUGGGCUCAAGGUAGGCAUAUUUCCCAAAUGUACAUCUAAAGGGUUCUUUUUAGCUGAAAACCUUUCAACUUUGUUAGAAUGGCCAAAAAAGGUAAGUUUCCCUGGAGAUGUGUGUAGCUUGGAUGGGGCGAUGGUGAGGAUGGUGAGUGCAGUGUACGGGGUUGGUUUAUCAGUGAUGAGUGGUGGAGGAGGUUUGUGUGAUUAAGAAUCUUGCAACAAAGAGCUUUGCUUCCAUUUCAAAAGAGAUCUAUUAUUAUGUGUAUGUUGAUUUGGAAUAGAAAGUGUGGGUGGAGUGGUUUGGGAACUUUCCAUGGCUGUGAAUCUAGAAGAGAUGGGAUUAGAGGCUACCUCUAUCCAAGAUCCAAAGGGAGUAAUGCCGCUGUCCACCGUGUCCACCUUCGAUGAAUAAUUUGUAUUCAAAUGGCCUAUGAGUCCACUGUGGAAGCAAAAAUUUGGAAGCUUUUCAUAUUUCAGGUUGACCCAUUAUAAAGAGCCAUCUUGCUCCAUACUCUGGAAUUUAGGCAGUAUGGCUUUGUCCAAUGAGAGUAAACUCUGGAUACGUAAGAAUGUUAAGCAUCCUAUAGCUUCAUUUUAAGUUAAUCAACUUCUAAGAAAGUUCCUACCAGGUUGCCAAUCAUUUUGGCAUUUUACAUGUUCAGCUAGGUGGGUGGUAACCCAUGAGCUUGGAACCAAAUGGGUGACUGACUAAAAUCCAAAUCAUCGAAUGGAGUAUCUAAGGGCCAUUCAGGUAACAACAUCAACUGAUUGUGGAUAACCAUGGUGUGUUUUGAAGCACAAAUUUCUUAUUUAUUUCAUGGUCAAAAGUAAUUCAGAAGGUGUUUUUCUUUUUAGGUAUGAUUUGGAAGUUUCUUCUGAGACAUAAAGAUUUGUACAGUGCUACAUUAAUGGUUCCCAAAGUAAAUAUUUUUUGGGUUAUAAGAUUGCCAACUAACACACUGUUGUGUAGGUUUCAUUCGAUCUCUUGAGUG
rnacentral:misc_RNA from 1 species